rnacentral:rRNA from 1 species
AAACCCCUUAUCGAGUAUCAAUUGGAGGGCAAGUCUGGUGCCAGCAGCCGCGGUAAUUCCAGCUCCAAUAGCGUAUAUUAAAGUUGUUGCAGUUAAAAAGCUCGUAGUUGGAUUUGUGGCUGUCACGGGCGGCCUAUCACUUAGUGUUAGUGCUUGCCUGUGUCGCCAUCCUUGGGUGGAGCCCGUGUGGCAUUAGGUUGUCGUGCGGGGGAUGCCCAUCGUUUACUGUGAGAAAAUUAGAGUGUUCAAAGCAGGCUUAUGCCGUUGAAUAUGUUAGCAUGGAAUAAUAAGAUAGGACCUCGGUACUAUUUUGUUGGUUUGCGCACCGAGGUAAUGAUUAAUAGGGACAGUUGGGGGUAUUCGUAUUCCAUUGUCAGAGGUGAAAUUCUUGGAUUUCUGGAAGACGAACUACUGCGAAAGCAUUUACCAAGGAUGUUUUCAUUAAUCAAGAACGAAAGUUAGGGGAUCGAAGAUGAUUAGAUACCAUCGUAGUCUUAACCAUAAACUAUGCCGACAAGGGAUUGGCGGAGUUUCGUUUUGUCUCCGUCAGCACCUUAUGAGAAAUCACAAGUCUUUGGGUUCCGGGGGGAGUAUGGUCGCAAGGCUGAAACUUAAAGAAAUUGACGGAAGGGCACCACCAGGAGUGGAGCCUGCGGCUUAAUUUGACCCAACACGGGAAAACUUACCAGGUCCAGACAAAGUGAGGAUUGACAGAUUGAGAGCUCUUUCUUGAUUCUUUGGGUGGUGGUGCAUGGCCGUUCUUAGUUGGUGGAGUAAUUUGUCUGGUUAAUUCCGUUAACGAACGAGACCCCUGCCUGCUAAAUAGCCUAGCAAAUGAGUUUUCAUUCGCCGGGGCUUCUUGGAGGGACGUGCAUUCUAUUAGAUGCAGGAAGAUAGGGGCAAUAACAGGUCUGUGAUGCCCUUAGAUGUCCUGGGCCGCACGCGCGCUACACUGAUGCGUUCAACGAGUUUCUUCCUUGGCCGAGAGGCCUGGGCAAUCUUUUGAACGCGCAUCGUGAUAGGGAUUGACACUUGCAAUUAUUUGUCAUGAACGAGGAAUUCCUAGUAAACGCAGAUCAUCAAUCUGCAUUGAUUACGUCCCUGCCCUUUGUACACACCGCCCGUCGCACCUACCGAUUGAAUGGUCCGGUGAAGCCUCGGGAUUGUGGCGAGUUUCCUUUAUUGGGAGUUUGUCGCGAGAACUUGUCUAAACCUUAUCAUUUAGAGGAAGGUGAAGUC